AGCCUUAGGCAAAAAUCUAAGGUGAAACCUGCCCAAUGUUAGCUUAUAGAUGAAUGGCCGCGGUACUCUGACCGUGCUAAGGUAGCGAAAUCAAUUGGCUUUUAAAUGGAGUCAGGUAUGAAUGGAAUUACGUAGUUUAACUGUCUCUUAAUUAAUUAUUCGAAAUUACUAUGUAGAUGAAAAAGUCUAUAGUAAGAAAAAAGACGAGAAGACCCUUAGAGUUUUUCUAAAAAAUAAACUUGCCAGUUUUUUGAAGUUUGGUUGGGGCAACUUAGGAAAAAUUAACUUCCUGUAUUUAUACUAGCCGUUUUUUUGAAGUUUGUAUAAACUACCUUAGGGAUAACAGCAUUAUGUAAUAAAUAAGUUUGUGACCUCGAUGUUGGACUGGGAAACUAAAAGGCUAGCCGUUUUUUAGGGAAGUUCUGUUCGAACUAUAAUUCCC
rnacentral:rRNA from 1 species